rnacentral:rRNA from 1 species
AGAGUUUGAUCCUGGCUCAGGAUGAACGCUAGCGGCAGGCCUAAUACAUGCAAGUCGAACGGUAAAUAUUGUAGCAAUACAAUAUGAGAGUGACGUACGGGUGCGUAACACGUAUGCAACCUACCCUUUACAGGCGGAUAGCUCGGUGAAAACCGAAUUAACCCGUCGUAGUAUAAUUGAAUGGCAUCAUUUGAUUAUUAAAACUCCGGUGGUAAAGGAUGGGCAUGCGUCUGAUUAGUUAGUUGGCGGUGUAACGGACCACCAAGACGAUGAUCAGUAGGGGAACUGAGAGGUUGAUCCCCCACACUGGCACUGAGAUACGGGCCAGACUCCUACGGGAGGCAGCAGUAGGGAAUAUUGGUCAAUGGAUGCAAGUCUGAACCAGCCAUGCCGCGUGCAGGAAGAAGGCCUUAUGGGUUGUAAAGCUCUUUUGUGCGGGAAGAUAAUGACGGUACCGCAAGAAUAAGCCCCGGCUAACUACGUGCCAGCAGCCGCGGUAAUAC